AGACAUACAGGUCGAGCAAGGAUGAAAAUCGGACUUAGUGAUCCGGUGGUUCUGCGUGGAAGGGCCAUCGCUCAACGGAUAAAAGCUACCCUGGGGAUAACAGGCUUAUCUCCCCCAAGAGUCCACAUCGACGGGGAGGUUUGGCACCUCGAUGUCGGCUCAUCACAUCCUGGGGCUGUAGUAGGUCCCAAGGGUUGGGCUGUUCGCCCAUUAAAGUGGUACGCGAGCUGGGUUCAGAACGUCGUGAGACAGUUCGGUCCCUAUCCGUCGCAGGCGUAGGAAAUUUGAGAAGACCUGUCCGUAGUACGAGAGGACCGGGAUGGACGUACCUCUGGUGUACCAGUUGUCCUGCCAAGGGCAUGGCUGGGUAGCUAUGUACGGAAUGGAUAAGCGCUGAAAGCAUCUAAGCGCGAAGCCAACUUCAAGAU
rnacentral:rRNA from 1 species